AGUGGGGAAUUUUGGACAAUGGGCGCAAGCCUGAUCCAGCCAUGCCGCGUGCAGGAUGAAGGCCUUCGGGUUGUAAACUGCUUUUGUACGGAACGAAAAAGCCUUCUCUAAUAAAGGGGGUGAAUGACGGUACCGUAAGAAUAAGCACCGGCUAACUACGUGCCAGCAGCCGCGGUAAUACGUAGGGUGCAAGCGUUAAUCGGAAUUACUGGGCGUAAAGCGUGCGCAGGCGGUUAUGUAAGACAGAGGUGAAAUCCCCGGGCUCAACCUGGGAACUGCCUUUGUGACUGCAUAGCUGGAGUGCGGCAGAGGGGGAUGGAAUUCCGCGUGUAGCAGUGAAAUGCGUAGAUAUGCGGAGGAACACCGAUGGCGAAGGCAAUCCCCUGGGCCUGCACUGACGCUCAUGCACGAAAGCGUGGGGAGCAAA
rnacentral:rRNA from 1 species